rnacentral:tRNA from 2 species
GGGGGAUUAGCUCAGCUGGUUAGAGCGCUUGCAUGGCAUGCAAGAGGUCAUCGGUUCGAAUCCGAUAUUCUCCA